rnacentral:rRNA from 1 species
GUUGAACGCUGGCGGCAGGCCUAACACAUGCAAGUCGAACGGAGUGGCGGACGGGUGAGUAAUUCCUAGGAAUCUGCCUGGUAGAGGGGGCUAACGUCCGGAAACGGGCGCUACUACCGCAUACUAUCAGAUGAGCCUAGGUCGGAUUAGCUAGUUGGGGGGGUAAAGGCCUACCAAGGCGACGAUCCGUAACUGGUCUGAGAGGAUGAUCAGUCACACUGGAACUGAUACACGGGCCAGACUCCUACGGGAGGCAGCAGUGGGGAAUAGUGGACAAUGGGCGAAAGCCUGAUCCAGCCAUGCCGCGUGGGUGAAGAAGGUCUUCGGAUGGUAAAGCACUGUAAGUUGGGAGGCGUUACCAACAGAAUAAGCACCGGCUAACGUCGUGCCAGCAGCCGCGGUAAUAC